GAGUUUGAUCCUGGCUCAGGAUGAACGCUGGCGGCGUGCUUAACACAUGCAAGUCGAACGGAAAGGCUCCUGCUUGCAGGGGUACUCGAGUGGCGAACGGGUGAGUAACACGUGGGUGAUCUGCCCUGCACUUCGGGAUAAGCCUGGGAAACUGGGUCUAAUACCGGAUAGGACGAUGGUUUGGAUGCCAUUGUGGAAAGUUUUUUCGGUGUGGGAUGAGCUCGCGGCCUAUCAGCUUGUUGGUGGGGUAAUGGCCUACCAAGGCGUCGACGGGUAGCCGGCCUGAGAGGGUGUACGGCCACAUUGGGACUGAGAUACGGCCCAGACUCCUACGGGAGGCAGCAGUGGGGAAUAUUGCACAAUGGGCGCAAGCCUGAUGCAGCGACGCCGCGUGGGGGAUGACGGCCUUCGGGUUGUAAACUCCUUUCGCUAGGGACGAAGCGCAAGUGACGGUACCUGGAGAAGAAGCACCGGCUAACUACGUG
rnacentral:rRNA from 1 species